rnacentral:rRNA from 1 species
CUAAGUUUGAUGGCGACCGGCGCACGGGUAAGUAACACGUAUCCAACCUGCCGAUGACUCGGGGAUAGCCUUUCGAAAGAAAGAUUAAUACCCGAUGGCAUAGUUCUUCCGCAUGGUAGAACUAUUAAAGAAUUUCGGUCAUCGAUGGGGAUGCGUUCCAUUAGGUUGUUGGCGGGGUAACGGCCCACCAAGCCUUCGAUGGAUAGGGGUUCUGAGAGGAAGGUCCCCCACAUUGGAACUGAGACACGGUCCAA